GGUUGAUAGGUCUGGUGUGGAAGCGUGGCGACACGUGAAGCUGACAGAUACUAAUCGGUCGAGGACUUAUCCAAU
rnacentral:rRNA from 1 species